CAUUGAAACACUGGUUCCUGUAUGAUCAACAAAGUUAAGCAAUGCCAAGCUUGGUCAGUACCUAGAUGGGUGAAUCCUUGGGAAUACCAGGUACUACAA